UCCCGUGUGGCUCAGUUGGUAGAGCAUGGUGUUUGUAACGCCAGGGUUGUGGGUUCGAUUCCCACGGGGGAA
rnacentral:tRNA from 1 species